rnacentral:misc_RNA from 1 species
AAGUCGUAACAAGGUUUCCGUAGGUGAACCUGCGGAAGGAUCAUUACAUUCAGUAGCCUAGCUACUUGUUUACACCCUUGUUUUUUUGCGCACUUCAUUGUAUCCCUCGGCGGGCUUGCUCGCCGGUUGGACAACAUUUAUAACCUUUUUUAAUCUUCAAUCAGCGUCUGAAUUAUAUUUAAUAAUUACAACUUUCAACAACGGAUCUCUUGGUUCUG